UACAGAGGGUGCAAGCGUUAAUCGGAAUUACUGGGCGUAAAGCGCGCGUAGGUGGUUUGUUAAGUUGGAUGUGAAAUCCCCGGGCUCAACCUGGGAACUGCAUUCAAAACUGACAAGCUAGAGUAUGGUAGAGGGUGGUGGAAUUUCCUGUGUAGCGGUGAAAUGCGUAGAUAUAGGAAGGAACACCAGUGGCGAAGGCGACCACCGUGGACU
rnacentral:rRNA from 1 species